rnacentral:rRNA from 1 species
GAUGAACGCUGGCGGCGUGCCUAAUACAUGCAAGUCGAGCGAACAGACGAGGAGCUUGCUCCUCUUACGUUAGCGGCGGACGGGUGAGUAACACGUGGAUAACCUACCUAUAAGACUGGGAUAACUUCGGGAAACCGGAGCUAAUACCGGAUAAUAUAUUGAACCGCAUGGUUCAAUAGUGAAAGACGGUUUUGCUGUCACUUAUAGAUGGAUCCGCGCCGCAUUAGCUAGUUGGUAAGGUAACGGCUUACCAAGGCAACGAUGCGUAGCCGAACUGAGAGGGUGAUCGGCAACACUGGAACUGAGACACGGUCCAGACUCCUACGGGAGGCAGCAGUAGGGAAUCUUCCGCAAUGGGCGAAAGCAUGACGGAGCAACGCCGCGUGAGUGAUGAAGGUCUUCGGAUCGUAAAACUCUGUUAUUAGGGAAGAACAAAUGUGUAAGUAACUAUGCACGUCUUGACGGUACCUAAUCAGAAAGCCACGGCUAACUACGUG